AAUACACUUCCUCUGUCUUAAAAUUCUUAUCUUACAUUUGUCUAGAUAUGAAUGUAUCUAACACUAAAUCGUAACUAAAUACAUCCGUAUUUAAACAAAUCUAAGAUACGAAUUAGGACGGAGGGAGUAUUAA
rfam:Triticum urartu cultivar G1812 contig244913, whole genome shotgun sequence.